rnacentral:piRNA from 1 species
GAGACCGUUAUGACCGCGCUGUGCACCUUGC